UACAGAGGGGGCAAGCGUUGUUCGGAAUUACUGGGCGUAAAGGGCGCGUAGGCGGCCUUCUAAGUCGAACGUGAAAUCCCUGGGCUCAACCCAGGAACUGCGUCCGAUACUGGAGGGCUUGAAUCCGGGAGAGGGAUGUGGAAUUCCAGGUGUAGCGGUGAAAUGCGUAGAUAUCUGGAGGAACACCGGUGGCGAAGGCGACAUCCUGGACCGGUAUUGACGCUGAGGCGCGAAAGCCAGGGGAGCAAACGGG
rnacentral:rRNA from 1 species